CAAUAGCGUAUAUUAAAGCUGUUGCGGUUAAAAAGCUCGUAGUUGGAUUUCUGUCAAGGACAACUGGUCCGCCCUCCGGGUGAGCACAUAGUUUGGUCUUGGCAUCUUGCUGGAAGCUGUUGCUGCACUUGGCUGUGUGGCGCAGCGUCCAGCACUUUCACUUUGAGGAAAUUGGAGUGUUUCAAGCAGGCACAUGCCUUUGGACACAGUAGCAUGGAAUAAUUAGAUUGGGCUUUUGCUCCAAUUUGUCGGUUUCUGGAGCUGAGGUGAGAAUUAAUGGGGAUUGUUGGGGGCAUCCGAAUUUAGCCGUCAGAGGUGAAAUCCAUGGAUCUGCUAAAGACGGACAACUGCGAAAGCGUUUGCCCAGGAUGUUUUCAUUGA
rnacentral:rRNA from 1 species